rnacentral:rRNA from 1 species
AUUGAACGCUGGCGGCAGGCCUAACACAUGCAAGUCGAGCGGGGUUUUCGGACCCAGCGGCGGACGGGUGAGUAACGCGUAGGAAGCUACCCGAUAGAGGGGGAUACCAGUUGGAAACGACUGUUAAUACCGCAUAAUGUCUACGGACCAAAGUGUGGGACCUUCGGGCCACAUGCUAUCGGAUGCGCCUACGUGGGAUUAGCUAGUUGGUGGGGUAAUGGCUCACCAAGGCGACGAUCCCUAGCUGGUUUGAGAGGAUGAUCAGCCACACUGGAACUGAGACACGGUCCAGACUCCUACGGGAGGCAGCAGUGGGGAAUAUUGGACAAUGGGCGCAAGCCUGAUCCAGCCAUGCCGCGUGUGUGAAGAAGGCCUUCGGGUUGUAAAGCACUUUCAGUAGGGAGGAAGGGUGUUGUGUUAAUAGCACAGCAUUUUGACGUUACCUACAGAAGAAGCACCGGCUAACUCUGUGCCAGCCGCCGCCAGUAAAAC